GUUUUUGGAUAAUUGCGCGAUUUCUUGGGUCAAACCUUGUGAAUCGUGAGGAAAGUCCAUGCUCGCGCGGGCUGCGAUGCCCGCAGUGUUUGUGCUAGGCGAAACAAUAAGCCUAGGUAGGUGUGUCAGACCUAACGGCUGAAUUUUAGCUAAGUCUUCUCACGAAGAUAUGCGACAAAUUCUGUAAAAGUGCCAUAGAGACGAGUUGUUUUGGAAACAGAGCAAGUGGAACGUGGUAAACCCCUCAAGCGAGCAACCCAAACUUAUGGUAGGGGCACUUGUCACGCGGAAAUUGAACGUACGACGAGGCUUAUUUUAGGUGUACCUAAAAUAAGCAGACAGAUGAUUAUCGAAGGUUGACUGAAAUGUCAACUGGAACAAAACAUGGCUUAUAGAA
rfam:Lactococcus raffinolactis 4877 genomic scaffold, Scaffold1061